CACAAGCCCCAGCAGCAAUCUCUGUCCACAAAACCUGUGUUGGCUGUACGUCCAUUCGCUGCCAUUGCUCUUUCUUAUUCUAUGAUGCAAUAAUCUAAUUAUUACCUAAUGCUUGAGGGAUCAGAGAUCUGAGGGGAAGGAGGACAGGCUCCACAGGGAAUGCUGUAACUUGUCUAGAUGUAAGGAACAGUCUGCAAGAGCUGCUUUGGCCCAAAAAGCCCCACGUGACAGGAAGGACAGGUAUUCUUAUCUCCAUGUUAUAAACGAAGAAAGAGAUGGGGAAGUUCUAUGUCUUGAUCAAGGUCACACGGACAGCUGACAGCAGAGAGGGCUUUCCAACCCCAGUGCCUAGAUCUCACGCCAAUACUCCGUCCAGUUCAUCAUCCUGACCAAAACAUUGGCCUCUAAGAGACUGUAACAUUGUUAGUUUUCUGCCUAAGCUUCUGCUGUCUCAAUUUACAUGUUACACGUCCCAUAAACUUUGCUUUUAAUUUAAGAACGAACUUUGUGAAGAGGUUCACUCUUGCGAAAAAGAAAGGAAGCUCUGACCAGGAAUGUGAUACCAGAUGCUACUGAAGGCCAGCUCUUUGCCCAUACAGUUGAAUUUAGUCACCUCUUCAGCCCUUUUCUCCAAUCUACUUUCUGCAGAGGCCUCCCCAGGGUUUAAUGGAAAUCACAUUCUUUACUAUUCCUAAUAACAAAAUUUGACUGAAAAGCAUCAAGGUCAGUCUACACUGACUAUGUUGUUCUUUAUUAUAUGUACAUAGCCCAAGCAAGGAAGGGAAAAACACAAAAUGCUACUAUAACACCAUUUGUUACAACAGAAGCUGAGAUAUAUUGUAGGUCAAGCUAUGUCUCCCCAAACAACUUCAUACAAGAGAUAUAACAUAAUUACAUCUCUUGAAUUAUGUUAAACCAUCUGGAGUCUUUGGGGGAAAGGAAAAAAAGAAAAAGAUUAUUUUUUUUAAACUCACUUCCAAAUGACAUCAACACAGACUGGUCUUAUUACUCCCGUAUAGUUCUGAUUUACUGUUUCACAGUGUUUGUAACAUCCCAGAGUAAAGUCUGUUGCUCCAA